rnacentral:rRNA from 1 species
UGGCUCAGGAUGAACGCUGGCGGCGUGCCUAACACAUGCAAGUCGAACGAAAUCUUCGGAUUUAGUGGCGGACGGGUGAGUAACGCGUGAGAAUCUACCUUUAGGUUCGGGACAACAGUUGGAAACGACUGCUAAUACCGAAUGUGUCGCAAGAUGAAAGAUUUAUUGCCUGAAGAUGAGCUCGCGUCUGAUUAGCUAGUUGGUGGGGUAACGGCCUACCAAGUCUACGAUCUAUAGCUGGUUUUAGAGGAUGAUCAGCAACACUGGGACUGAGACACGGCCCAGACUCCUACGGGAGGCAGCAGUGGGGAAUCUUGGACAAUGGGCGCAAGCCUGAUCCAGCCAUGCCGCGUGAGUGAUGAAGGCCUUAGGGUCGUAAAGCUCUUUCGCCAGGGAUGAUAAUGACAGUACCUGGUAAAGAAACCCCGGCUAACUCCGUGCCAGCAGCCGCGGUAAUACGGAGGGGGUUAGCGUUGUUCGGAAUUACUGGGCGUAAAGCGUACGUAGGCGGACUGAAAAGUUGGGGGUGAAAUCCCGGGGCUCAACCCCGGAACUGCCUCCAAAACUGCCAGUCUAGAAUUCGAGAGAGGUGAGUGGAAUUCCGAGUGUAGAGGUGAAAUUCGUAGAUAUUCGGAGGAACACCAGUGGCGAAGGCGGCUCACUGGCUCGAUAUUGACGCUGAGGUACGAAAGUGUGGGGAGCAAACAGGAUUAGAUACCCUGGUAGUCCACACCGUAAACGAUGAAUGCCAGUCGUCGGGUAGCAUGCUAUUCGGUGACACACCUAACGGAUUAAGCAUUCCGCCUGGGGAGUACGGUCGCAAGAUUAAAACUCAAA